rnacentral:rRNA from 1 species
UACGAAGGUCUCAAGCGUUGUUCGGAUUCAUUGGGCGUAAAGGGUGCGUAGGUGGUUAGGUAAGUCGGAUGUGAAAUCCCGGGGCUCAACCUCGGAACUGCAUUCGAUACUGCUUGACUAGAGUACUGGAGAGGAGAUUGGAAUUUACGGUGUAGCAGUGAAAUGCGUAGAUAUCGUAAGGAAGACCAGCGGCGAAGGCGGAUCUCUGGACAGUUACUGACACUGAGGCACGAAGGCCAGGGGAGCAAACGGG